rnacentral:rRNA from 1 species
AUACAUGCAAGUCGACGCGUUGGCCCAAUUGAUUGAUGGUGCUUGCACCUGAUUGAUUUUGGUYGCCAACGAGUGGCGGACGGGUGAGUAACACGUAGGUAACCUGCCCAGAAGCGGGGGACAACAUUUGGAAACAGAUGCUAAUACCGCAUAACARCGUUGUUCGCAUGAACAACGCUUAAAAGAUGGCUUCUCGCUAUCACUUCUGGAUGGACCUGCGGUGCAUUAGCUUGUUGGUGGGGUAAYGGCCUACCAAGGCGAUGAUGCAUAGCCGAGUUGAGAGACUGAUCGGCCACAAUGGGACUGAGACACGGCCCAUACUCCUACGGGAGGCAGCAGUAGGGAAUCUUCCACAAUGGGCGCAAGCCUGAUGGAGCAACACCGCGUGAGUGAAGAAGGGUUUCGGCUCGUAAAGCUCUGUUGUUAAAGAAGAACACGUAUGAGAGUAACUGUUCAUACGUUGACGGUAUUUAACCAGAAAGUCACGGCUAACUACGUGCCAGCAGCCGCGGUAAUACGUAGGUGGCAAGCGUUAUCCGGAUUUAUUGGGCGUAAAGAGAGUGCAGGCGGUUUUCUAAGUCUGAUGUGAAAGCCUUCGGCUUAACCGGAGAAGUGCAUCGGAAACUGGAUAACUUGAGUGCAGAAGAGGGUAGUGGAACUCCAUGUGUAGCGGUGGAAUGCGUAGAUAUAUGGAAGAACACCAGUGGCGAAGGCGGCUACCUGGUCUGCAACUGACGCUGAGACUCGAAAGCAUGGGUAGCGAACAGGAUUAGAUACCCUG